rnacentral:rRNA from 1 species
AAUACGUUCCCGGGCCUUGUACACACCGCCCGUCACACCACGAAAGUCGGCAACACCCGAAGCCGGUGGCCCAACCCGUAAGGGAGGGAGCCGUCGAAGGUGGGGUCGGUGAUUGGGGUG